AGAAAAGUAAGCUAAAUCAAGCUAAUGGGUUCAUACCCCAUUUAUAGAGGAAAGAAACCUCUCUUCUCUA
rnacentral:tRNA from 1 species